AUGCACCUAGAGACCUACAUGGUUUGUGAACUUGGAAUCAACAGUAAGACCCAGUGUUCCAGGUACAGGCUUUCAGGUAUACUUAGUAUAGUUUGGAAGCUGCCGGAUUGCAAUCGUUUGUUAGCUGAUCUUCCUGAGAGUGAAAUUUUGAUGCUUUUGACACUUCAGUCUGAACUGUAUUUGAGUUGGCCAAUGCGUAGCAGAUUGGCAAUGGAGCUACAGAGUAUUCAGGGCCGGCAGAAUAUGCUCUCUGUGAUGAUUUUUAUGUUCCACGGCAAUCUUCAUCAACAUUUUUCUAAAGGGAAAAUGUAUUUGGCGAAAGUUACAUAUUUUGUUAUAUAA
rnacentral:rRNA from 1 species